AAGGCUUUAAGUUAAAUAAACUAAUAGCCUUCAAAGCUAUAAUUAUAAGAUCAGCCUUGUAAGCCUUA
rnacentral:tRNA from 1 species